UGGGAGCUUGCUCCCAGAGGUUAGCGGCGAACGGGUGAGUAACACGUGGGCAACCUGCCCUGUAGACUGGGAUAACAUCGAGAAAUCGGUGCUAAUACCGGAUAAUAAUAGGAACUGCAUAGUUCCCAUUUAAAAGAUGGCUCCGGCUAUCACUACAGGAUGGGCCCGCGACGCAUUAGCUAGUUGGUAAGGUAACGGCUUACCAAGGCGACGAUGCGUAGCCGACCUGAGAGGGUGAUCGGCCACACUGGGACUGAGACACGGCCCAGACUCCUACGGGAGGCAGCAGUAGGGAAUCUUCCGCAAUGGACGAAAGUCUGACGGAGCAACGCCGCGUGAGUGAUGAAGGGUUUCGGCUCGUAAAGCUCUGUUGUUAGGGAAGAACAAGUGCCGUUCAAAUAGGGCGGCACCUUGACGGUACCUAACCAGAAAGCCACGGCUAACUACGUGCCAGCAGCCGCGGUAAUACGUAGGUGGCAAGCGUUGUCCGGAAUUAUUGGGCGUAAAGCGCGCGCAGGCGGUCUUUUAAGUCUGAUGUGAAAUCUCGGGGCUCAACCCCGAGCGGUCAUUGGAAACUGGGAGACUUGAGUACAGAAGAGGAGAGUGGAAUUCCACGUGUAGCGGUGAAAUGCGUAGAUAUGUGGAGGAACACCAGUGGCGAAGGCGACUCUCUGGUCUGUAACUGACGCUGAGGCGCGAAAGCGUGGGAGCAAACAGGAUUAGAUACCCUGGUAGUCCACGCCGUAAACGAUGAGUGCUAGGUGUUAGGGGUUUCGAUGCCCUUAGUGCCGAAGUUAACACAUUAAGCACUCCGCCUGGGGAGUACGACCGCAAGGUUGAAACUCAAAGGAAUUGACGGGGGCCCGCACAAGCAGUGGAGCAUGUGGUUUAAUUCGAAGCAACGCGAAGAA
rnacentral:rRNA from 2 species